UAGUACAGAUGCAAUAUAAAUUUUCUCAUCUUACAAAUAUGAUUAAUAGCAAUAACCCUGAAGGAAACGUAAAAAUAUUAUCGUUAGUAUUAAGAAUCAAUUAAAACUCACGUUGAACAGUAUCGCUUUUAUUUUUAUUUAUCCUCAUUGUGUAUCGCGUCUAUGAAGACUCUGUUCGUAUGAGAUACGUCUUCGUUAAAAACUCGGUUCUGCUCACUAGACUUCAGUUCUUCGUUAUUCACGCGUAGAAAAGGAUAUCUCAAACUUUUAUAUAACGUUCGUGUAAGGAGAGAUUCGCGCAGACACAAUGGAAAACCCGCCAUAUACUAUUUCGUAGCUGCAGCUCGAGAGUCAACGGUGCACUGAGCCGCCAGGCAAAAAGGGAGAAUCGAAAACGCUUGCAGCGACCAAGAACGGAACAACUCAUGGGUGCCGCACAAGGAGGCCGGCGGCCGGUUACGAACAGAGAACAAGGAGAACGGAGGAAAACUUGUUUGCUCGUGUCAGAUCCUGUAGUGAAUCGCUCAAAGCAAUGUUAAAAAUAUAGCAUGUAAAGUUCGACGUAAAAACGAAUCAAUAUCCUACUCUCUCUUUUUUAAAUACCAAUUUAAUAUAUUUUGCAACCGGUGAAAUGAAAAUUUAUAGAUGAAACAAAAAAUGUUAAUUAGCAUGAAAUAUUCAUGCGAAUAUUUAGAGCAAUGUUGGAUCAAGUGAUUGAAAGUUUAACGAAGCAGAGAAAGGACCGCUCGGGAAGGGGAUCAAAAAUUUGUUAUGCAAAUGAAGAAAGACUAUAGGUGACGUGUGUUGUGCUCGAUUGCCAACAUGGUUAUUUUCUGGCCACGUAUACCGAAGACUUGUCAACAGUGUUCAGAUAAGACAAUCGAAUCAACCAUUCGAAAUUCCCUACUACUAUUGUUAUAAUGAUCGAACACCUGAAUUACCGAUGCGUAUAACGUCCACCUGUACUCUUACAUGGAGAUGCAGUUUUUUUCCUAAAUAACAUUACAUCUGACUAAACAUUGUAAAAGCUGUUACAUUAUAUAACGAAAUUUGCUCACUUUUACUAACACCGCGUAUUCUUAUGUAAGAAUAUCG
rnacentral:misc_RNA from 1 species